GCUCAACAUGCUCCAGUGAAUCAGGCACACUCUCUGGUGCUCUUCUGGGAGCUGGCGGGGGUUCUUCUGAGUGUGAAACAGUAAAUCCAUGCUUGUGUUCAGCUGGGUUCAACCUCUCAAAUGACGCUAGCUGCUUGUGUGCUUGCCAAAGAACCUCUGGUGGAUCUUGAACUCGCUCAUGGUGCCCACCUCCAGAACCCCAGAGCAGGAGACAAUGCCUUUGCUGUUCCUGGCUGAAGCCUGAUAGAUGGCUGCAUCAUCCACUGUGCAGCUGGAAAGAGAGAGACUCAAAUCAUUUUGGGAACAGUGCAGGCACCAUUGAGCACAAGAAUACACAUCUUCUAAACCCAAAUUACCGCAGUAUCGGUCCAACUCCAUGUCGUCUCUGUACCACGUCAGUUCUGGGGCUGGGUUUCCUGUGGACAUCACAUGGAGAUGGUAAGUUGAAGUCAGAAGUUUACAUACACCUACGCCAAAUACAUUUAAACUCAGUUUUUCACAAUUCCUGACAUUUAAUCCGAGUAAAAAUUCCCUGUCUUAGGUCAGUUAGGAUCACCACUUUAUUUUAAGAAUGUGAACUAUCAGAAUAAUAGUAGAGAGAAUGAUAUAUUUCAGCUUUUAUUUCUUUCAUCACAUUCCCAGUGGGUCAGAAGUUUACAUACUCUCAAUUAGUAUUUGGUAGCAUUGCCUUUAAAGUGUUUAACUUUAAACGUUUCGGGUAGCCUUACGCAAGCUUCCCACAAUAAGUUGGGUGAAUUUUGGCCCAUUCCUCCUGACAGAGCCGGUGCAACUGAGUCAGGUUUGUAGGCCUCCUUGCUCGCAUCCUUGCUUGCCCACUAAAUUUCUAUAGGAUUGAGGUCAGGGCUUUGUGAUGGCCACUCCAAUACCUUGACUUUGUUGUCCUUAAGCCCUUUUACCACCAUUUUGGAAGUUUUCUUGGGGUCAUUGUCCAUUUGAAAGACCCAUUUGAGACCAAGCUUCAACUUCCUGACUAAUAUCUUGAGAUGUUGCUUCAAUAUAUCCACAUCAUUUUCCUCCCUCGUGAUGCCAUCUAUUUGUGAAGUGCACCAGUCCCUCCUGCAGCAAAGCACCCCGAAACAUAACAAUGGUCAUUAUGGCCAAACAGUUCUAUUUUUGUUUCAUCAGACCAGAGGAUACUUCUCCAAAAAGUAUGAUCUUUGUCCCCAUGUGCAGUUGCAAACCGUAGUCUGGCUUUUUGAUGGCGGUUUUGGAGCAGUGGCUUCACCCUUGCUGAGCGGCCUUUCAGGUUAUGUCGAUAUAGGACUUGUUUUACUGUGGAUAUAGAUACUUUUGUAUCUGUUUCCUCCAGCAUCUUCACAAGGUCCUUUGCUGUUGUUCUGGGAUUGAUUUGCACUUUUCACACCAAAGUAUGUUAAUCUCUAGGGGACAGAACGAAUCUCCUUCCUGAGAGGUAUGACGGCUGCGUGGUUCCAUACAUGUGUACUAUUGUUUGUACAGAUGAACGUGGUACCUUCAGGCGCUUGGAAAUUGCUCCCAAGGAUGAACCAGACUUGUGGAGGUCUACAAUUUAUUUUCUGUGGUCUUGGCUGACUUCUUUUUAUUUUCCCUUGAUGUCAAGCAAAGAGACACUGAGUUUGAAGGUAGGCCAUGAAAUACAACCACAGAUACACCUCCAAUUUACUGAAAUUAAAUAAAUUAGUCUCAGAAGCUUCUAAAGCCAUGACAUCAUUUUCAGAAGCUGUUUAAAGGCACAGUCAACUUAGUGUAUGUAAACUUCUGACCCACUGGAAUUAUGAUACAGUGAGUUAUAAGUGAAAUAAUCUGUCUGUAAACAAUUAUUGGAAAAAUUACUUGUGUCAUGUGUAACAGUAUAGCUUCCGUCCCUCUCCUCGCCUCGAACCAGGGACCCUCUGCACACAUCAACCACAGUCACUCACAAAGCAUCUUUACCGGGAACAACUACUUCUCGGUCUCAGAGCGAGUGACGUCACCGACUGAAACACUAUUAGCGCACACCCGCUAACUAGCUAGCCAUUUCACAUCGGCCGCACAUGCACAAAGUAGAUGUCCUAACCGACUUGCCAAAACUAUAGUUUGUUAUCAAGACAUUUGUGGAGUGGUUGAAAAACAAGUUUUAAUGACUCCAAACUAAGUGUAUGUAAACUUCCGACUUCGACUGUACAUCACAGACAUACAGUGUAAAAUAAUAACCUGGUUAAAAACUCAAAAAAACUAUUUUUUAUUAGAUAUAGUUUCAUGUUUAUCUCUCAUUAAGAUUAUGCCCGUAUGAUCAUUAUUUUAAUUUCUAGGUUACCAUUGAAGUAUGAACACAGUAGCCAUUCGCUGUUUUUUUUCAAGCAUCUUAUGAAUUAAUUAAUCAGCAAUAAAACAAAAGGAACAGAAAGCUUUGAAAGGAAAUUGUAUCAAGAACAAAGGCCUGUUUCAGACUGCUGCGUCAUGGCAGUGUUCAAGGCCACAAGUUCUGCUGCUGUGGUUGAGAAGGGGCCAACUCAGAUGCCGGGGGGAAGGAAAUAGCAAAACCUGCUUAGAUUUUUAAUCCUAUUUAUGUCUUGCCUCUCUGCGCCAACAUUAUGCCAUUGCUAAUUUAGUCUCAGCUGCCUUUACUUUUUUAACAGUUUUAUUUUACUUUCGCAUUAAUGAAUAAGCUAUAGAAGAAAACAUAAGAAUAAGCAGUCAUAAGCAUUUUAAAGUAACUUUUCUCUUUUCAUUGUCUUCAAUUGACGUUUAUAUAUGCAUUACCUUUCUCAAUUCAUGUUUGCAUCGCUGUUCAGAAGUAGGUUUGUUUCUCUGCUUUGAUUUCAAACUAACCACAGAAUGACUAAUACCAUCGCCUACUCAUAACUAUCUAAAGCAUUCAAACACACAUACGCAAAUGCAAGUAAUUAGGUCAACUCUGA